GCAGAAUUUUACUGUGUAGCUCAGUGUCUCACUACUGGCUCACUUGUCACACCUCUCGAGUUUAUUCUUCAUUUCAUUAUUGUUUCCAUAUUCAUGUUUUCACCCGUAUCAUGCUAGAGAAGUCUUGCGCUUCGCAUGUAGUCACUUGACGAUUGAGUGGAAAAAGCCACACGGCCUAUCCGCUUGAUUCGUUACACUGGUGGCAGCGAUUACCGAACUCAACGCUUCGAGGAGAUUGGAGAACCUUGGCCAACCACCCACCUACCACAAAGGACGGCCAUACACUCUUCAGCUUCAAUCAUCACGACCAUCCCAGGAAGAACAACCGAAGAGGAUCCGCAAAGAACUGACAAUUCAUUUUAGAGUAGACUGUAUGAGUAAUAUCACAGUUGAAUUAAGAAUCAAGAAACGUGAAACGUGAAACAAGUUAUCGACUAAUUCAAAAAAUAUUGAUGGGAGCGAGACAGAAAAAAUUCUCGCCAGCCAUGAUUAAACAAGACAAUUAAAUUUUAAUGCAUAAAUGUGUAUCUCACUGUCAGUUCUGUGCAGUUUUAUGUCUCUUUAUAGGUUGCGGGACGCAACCUGUCGGGAGGGUGAGUGAUGUAAGUAUUCUGAGAUGCGCCUUUCUAUUUUUGAUCUGGGUCAAAGUUGAUCCAAGUGCCUUUCUCUUUUGUGACCUGUUGUGACCUACCAAUUUCCCUUUCUCUUGACCUAUUAUUUCUCACUUUCCCUUUACUUGUUUUCGGUAUAAAACCCAACGCAGAGUCUCAUUCUUGAGCUCAGUCUUUCUGGCUCAUUCUGUAGUUCAAGUUGAUUCUGGUUAUGUAGACGAGAUGAGGCCCCAGUCAGUAUACUCUGGGAUGCUAUUCCUAGUCUAUGUAGCUAUUGGAAACUUACUAUGUUCUAUACCUUUUUCUUCAUUAAAUGUAUUGAUUUUUAAUUGUAUGUAAGCUUGAAGAGCCUAAGUACCAUGUUGGCUGAUCAACUUUCAUGUAAGAACAAUACAAACUAAUUACUUUCAA